AUUGAACGCUGGCGGCAGGCCUAACACAUGCAAGUCGAGCGAGCGGCGGACGGGUGAGUAAUGUCUGGGAAACUGCCUGAUGGAGGGGGAUAACUACUGGACACGGUAGCUAAUACCGCAUACCAUCAGAUGUGCCCAGAUGGGAUUAGCUAGUUGGUGGGGUAAUGGCUCACCUGGGCGACGCUCCCUAGCUUGUCUGAGAGGAUGACCAGCCACCCUGGAACUGAGACACGGUCCAUACGCCAACGGAGGUCAGCAGUGGGGAAUAUUGCACAAUGGGCGCAGGCCUGAUGCAGCCAUGCCGCGUGUGUGAAGAAGGCCUUCGGGUUGUAAAGCACUUUCAUCGGGGAGGCGUUACCCGCAGAAGAAGCACCGGCUAACUCCGUGCCAGCAGCCGCGGUAAUAC
rnacentral:rRNA from 1 species